CCAUUAUCCAUCCAUCCAUCCAUUAUCCAUCAUCUGUUCAUUAUCCAUCCAUCCAUUAUCCAUCCAUCCAUCCAUUAUCCAUCAUCUGUUCAUUAUCCAUCCAUCCAUCCAUUAUCCAUCCAUCUAUACAUUAUCCAUCCAUCUAUCCAUUAUCCAUCCAUCCAUCCAUUAUCCAUCCAUCCAUCCAUUAUCCAUCCAUCUAUCCAUUAUCCAUCCACCCACCCAUUACCCAUCCAAUUAUCCAUCCAUUCCAGAAGCAUUUGCCGAUCGAGCACAUCCAUCCAUCCACCCACCCAUUCAUUAUCCAUCCAUCCAUCAUCCAUCCAUCCAUCCAUCAUCCAUCCAUCUAUCCAUUAUCCAUCCAUCCAUUAUCCAUCCAUCCGUUAUCCAUUCACCCAUCCAUCCAUCCAUCCAUCCCAGAAGCCAUUUGCCAAGCACAUGCUGGGUGCCAAGCCCAAGCAGGCGGGCAUCCUCCUGGCUCUGAGAGGAGCUUGAGCAGAGCCCACAGACAGUACCACCCUGCUGGCGGGUCACCAAGCCACCAAGCCAGUGCAGGCUGAGGGCUGAGCACACAGAGCACCGUCUCAGUGUCUGGACAUGGUUAGCCGUCCCCACCCGCGUGGAAGGAAACUUUUUCUCUCCCCUAAGACAGGCUUUGCAGACUUGGAAAGGGAACGCCGUGUUCCAGGGCUCAGACCUGGAGCCCCGGCCAGAGCAGAUGCGAGCCAGCCUCAUCUGGAAAUAGCAGCUCUGGUCCCGGCCUCGCUGAGGCACUGAAAACCAGCACCAGGGCCCCGUCCAGCUCGGCCUCACUGAGGCUGGGAAACAAACACAGGUCUGUAAGGCGCAGCUCCCCAAGCAAACUCCCCACCCCUGCCCAGCACCCACAGCGCUCCCGGCCUCUGUCCUCUAUUCCAGGACCCCUGUAGCGAGCCUGGCUUGGUCCUGGGUCCUCAGGGGACACUGUCCACCCCCGCUGCCCUGGCAGAGCCUCAGGAAUGUGCUUGGUCUCCACAGCCCUCCCCACAGCAAUGUCCCAAGGUUAGACCUACCCAUGCCUCAGUGACUUCUGAGGCGCCUGUCCCGCCGCCCAGCAGCCACUCCAGCCUCCAGAGCUGGCCCCAACCUCCAGCCCCAGGCUGAGCUGCCCUCCCCAGAGGUCAGGAAAAGCCUCAGGCAGGGCUCACAGCUGCACCCAGGAGUCACCCAGGGUGACCCCGCUCUCCGGGGCGGGUCACUCCUGCCCACCCACAGCCAAGGACUGUCACUUUCUCAGUACACAAGGGAGAGAAAGGAAAAACAAGAGCGAGAAAGACACAAGGAGAGAAAAGGAAGGGAGAAGCAAAGAAAAAAGAAAGACACAGGGAAAGAAGAGGAAGGAAAAGAAGGGAGGAAAGGGAGGAAGGAGGGAGAGCGGGAGGAGAGGGAAA
ensembl:lincRNA